rnacentral:rRNA from 1 species
GACGAACGCUGGCGGCGUGCUUAACACAUGCAAGUCGAACGGAAAGGCCCUGCUUUUGUGGGGUGCUCGAGUGGCGAACGGGUGAGUAACACGUGAGUAACCUGCCCUUGACUUUGGGAUAACUUCAGGAAACUGGGGCUAAUACCGGAUAGGAGCUCCUGCUGCAUGGUGGGGGUUGGAAAGUUUCGGCGGUUGGGGAUGGACUCGCGGCUUAUCAGCUUGUUGGUGGGGUAGUGGCUUACCAAGGCUUUGACGGGUAGCCGGCCUGAGAGGGUGACCGGCCACAUUGGGACUGAGAUACGGCCCAGACUCCUACGGGAGGCAGCAGUGGGGAAUAUUGCACAAUGGGCGGGAGCCUGAUGCAGCAACGCCGCGUGCGGGAUGACGGCCUUCGGGUUGUAAACCGCUUUCGCCUGUGACGAAGCGUGAGUGGCGGUAAUGGGUAAAGAAGCACCGGCUAACUACGUG